rnacentral:lncRNA from 1 species
GUUCUGGUGUUGAAAGUCUGGUUUGUAGCUUUUACCCCAGAGUGACAGUGAAGCCAGUGAGUAACCAUCAUUGUUUUAUAAUAACAUAGCACAACUGCCUUCUCAUGACCUUUUCAUAAAUGCAUAUAUACUAUGUUUAAAAUAUAGAUACCACUUUACCAAAGAUACACAUUACUAAUUCUAAGCAAAAAAAGAAAAAAAAAGAUAUUAAAAAAAACCUCGAACUCAUAAUACUUUUAAAAAGUAAUCAAAAUGUAGUUCUGUUAUCGCUUUGCAGUUAUGCUGGUGAAUGCCUUCUCAACCCCGGUGUUCUAAAGUUUCUGUUCAAACGGUGCCAGUACAUUUUUAUAUGAAGGGAAUGCCUGCUUUUUUCCUCCAUAGCAGCUGUAAUUCAUGUAGCCCUUUGUACUUUCCCUUAGUCCCCACUUAACACACAGCAUUGGCUUUAUUUAUCUCUAUAAAGAAGGCAUGGUAAAAAAAAAUAACUAAUAAAAAAUUAUAAUGACAUUUGGCCUCUACUUUUGUCUUAGCUGUUAAAAUGUUUUUAGUAUUUUUGUUAAAUAUUUGCAAAGGGAAGAAUUUUCUACAGAGGAUAAUUAAUUUCAAGAAAAAUAUCUUGAGUUUUAAGGAAUAAACAUCUCCAGAAAAGGAGACAGUCAAUUUUAUAAAAUGUCGUAACUCUCCAACAUUUGGGGUAGUGACUCCUUUUUUGUUAGGACAUUUGAAACUAGCAAGUAGCCGUUGUUUCUAAAGAGCCCCACUUCAUGUCAACUCCUGUUUCUUUAACUUCAUUUUCAAACAGUUUAAAACAUUAAACCUGUAAAUAUUUUGUUGCUUGAGUAAGCAUCUUCUGGAAGCUUUGUAUCUAUGGUAUAUAAUCAUAGAAUUUUAUAUUUUCAUAUAAAGCUAAUUUUUUUCUAGUUUCAACUAUGUCAUAGUUCUUUUAGUUGUUGGUGCCCCUCUCCCCCGUGGUGGAUAUGUGAACUUCUGUGUAUUGAAGUAGCAAGAACCAUCUUUGCAUUCCAAAAGAAUCCGUGUGUUCUUCCUUUGGGGUAGUGAUUGUGAAAAUCGGGUGUUCUUUUUAAUUCCAUUGAUCAUUAGUGCAAUAGCAAUUAGACAUCACUAGUCACUGAAUACAUUUGUCACAUGGACCCAUUUUGGAAAAAGUGAUUUUUUUUUUUAAAGAAUUGUUCUGUGGGGGGAGGGGUUUUAUAACCUGAAAUUUUUUCCCUUUUUCCUUCUGUUUAAAACUAUAUCAAAUCAUUCUAUUAUAGUGUUAUUUAAUAUGUAAAUUGUAUUGCUAUACAUAAAAUAAAGUAUGGUUUUUGAUGU